AGGCACAGCAAUACUUGGAGCCUUCCCACAGCACCGCCAUCUAUCUCUAAAGAAAUCAGCUCAGAAUUAAAACAGAGGGUGACAGGAAGGAAGAGAAAUGUAUCUUUGUGCGAACACUUCAUAGUUUUAACAUGCUCAUGUAACACAGUGAGGGUGGGCCAGCUGGCCAUAAAAUAACCUAGACUGAUAAAUUAAUCAGAAGUAUGCUCUGUGUGCUACCAACUGUCCUGUGACUAAUAAGUUAGUUUUCUACUUUGGCAGGUUCCACGGCUUUACUUGUAGCAUGAAGAGAAGAGCUGGAAGGAAAAGGGAGGACUGUGACCCCUGGCCUUGAUCUUGGCUUUCUCUGGUACAGAGCACUAUUACGUAUGUGCUUGCCUCUGGACUGGUUUUAACCCUGUCAACGCUGCCAAUGGGUACAUGCAGGCCAAUACUGGAAGAGCUUCAUCAGCUCUCUCAUCUCUGUUUGAAAACAGCAGGUACGCUCUGAGGUGCUUUGCCCCCUCCAUUGGUUAUUUCCUUCUUGACUGACACUUACAGUUUCAUAUGAGCCUUUCCACCAAGUUUUUUGUACCUUG
ensembl:lncRNA